UACAGAGGUCCCGAGCGUUGUUCGGAUUCAUUGGGCGUAAAGGGUGCGUAGGCGGCGGGGCAAGUCUGAUGUGAAAUCCCGGGGCUCAACCCCGGAACUGCAUUGGAUACUGCCUUGCUUGAGUACUGGAGAGGGAACUGGAAUUUACGGUGUAGCAGCGAAAUGCGUAGAGAUCGUAAGGAAGGCCAGUGGCGAAGGCGAGUUCCUGGACAGUGACUGACGCUGAGGCACGAAGGCCAGGGGAGCAAACGGG
rnacentral:rRNA from 1 species